CUAUCGAGCUCCAUUCACACUCCUGACCUAUGAACUCAUUUUCACCCUCAUCCCUCUUCAAAGUUGUCGUCCAACUCUUCUCCUCCGGUAGAAGGUGUUGUCGCCGCCGGCGAGGACAGUCGGUGGGUGCCUUCGUCAUCUGGGGAAGCUCCACUCGACCCUCUUCACAUUGUUCCUCCUAUCCUCGCCGUCGAACGAAGUUUUGAGUUGAGCUCGUGGCGUCGCCGUCGCGAAGGGUUCCUCCCCUCCUCGCCGUGCGUCGUUUCUGAUUCACUGCUCCUCGCCGUUUUUGGCUGUUGCCCCUUCUCUUCUCUGAUUUUAGAUUUCGUGACUGUUAAUUUCAAAUUCCGUGACUCGUGAGGAUGACACUGUUGAUGAUGAAGUCAUGGAAGUAGCUUUGGACAGGAAAUUGGAGCAACAAAUUUGCAAUGCCAUAGAUACUCGCUUCCAUCUACAAUUGACAAAUAUAUUAUUUAGAGAUAUUUCAUCUGUCAAAUAGUUCCUGGAGGAUACAUUUUGAUGCAGAAACAAAAUUUGGGAAAGGAUUCUUCCUCUCAAACAGGAAGUGUUAGCCAGAUUUAUGACGAGUUCUGUCCAAUCUUACUCUACCAAUUUAAGUCAAGGAAUUACACAAAAUUUGAGACAUUUGAUGCUUCCUUGGAUGAGUUCUACAGCAAAAUUGAGAGCCAAAGGUCUGAACAACAGCAGAAAGCCAAAGAAAACUCAGCUGCUCAGAAGCUGAAUAAAAUAAGCCAGGAUCAGGAAAAUCGAGUGCACACAUUGAGGAAAGAAGUUAAUUACUGUGUUAAAAUGGCAGAAUUGAUAGAGUACAACUUAGAAGAUGUGGAUGCUAUUAUAUUAGCUGUUUGUGUAGCUCUUGCAAAGGGUAUGAACUGGGAUGACCUUUCACGUAUGGUGAAAGAUGAAAAGAAAUCUGGAAACCCUGUUGCUAGUCUCAUUGACAAGCUCCAUCUUGAGAGGAACUGCAUGAUUUUAUUGUUGGCAAACAAUCUUGAUGAAAUGAAUGAUGAUGAGAAGACACUCCCUAUAGAUAAGGUUGAAGUUGAUUUAGCUCUCUCAGCUCAUGCCAAUGCUCGGAGGUGGUAUGAAUUGAAGAAAAAGCAAGAGAGCAAACAGGAAAAGACUAUAACUGCGCAUGAAAAGGCGUUUAAAGCUGCAGAGAAAAAGACUCGCCUACAGCUUAAUCAGGCUUUUUGGUUUUAAUGCUACGAAGAUGAGAAUGGAUGACAGGAUAAGUCUUAGCAUGAGUGAUCUGGAUCUUGUUCCACUUCUUAUCCAGAGGAGAUUACAUUUUUGACCGAGGGUGAUGAUCCUAACGAUGAUGAUGUUGUAUUAAAGAAGCUUUUUCACCCUAAUCUCAAGCUAUUAAUUGUGACACAAGGUUCAAAGAGUUGUAGAUAUUACACCAAGGUAAGCUUACUACCAAGUCCAUUUGAGAGUGAGUGGCAUAAGCACUUGUUUCAUUGUUGAUUGUGUGCGCAGAAAUUCAAAGGCCGGGUGACAGAUGUUAAAGUUAAUCUCAUUGAUACAACUGGGGCCGGUGAUGCAUUUGUUAAUGGAAUUCUCUACAGCAUUUGCUCAUAAUCAAUGUGGAGCUUGAUGCUGCCAAUACAAUUUAGUUAUCCAUUAAUAUUUUAGAUUGUCCCAUUUUAAGUGUUAAGUGUAAUGUUAAUGAAAGAGAUCCAUGUAACAUUAGGAUGAUCAUCUUAUUUUUUUGGGUAUCUUUUUAUUGAGAUAGUGAGAUAUUGGCCAAUGAUGUUGAAAAAUAACAUCCAAUU